rnacentral:rRNA from 1 species
GAUGAACGCUGGCGGCGUGCCUAAUACAUGCAAGUCGAGCGAACGGACGAGAAGCUUGCUUUUCUGAUGUUAGCGGCGGGCGGGUGAGUAACACGUGGAUAACCUACCUAUAAGACUGGGAUAACUUCGGGAAACCGGAGAUAAUACCGGAUAAUAUUUUGAACCGCAUGGUUCAAAAGUGAAAGACGGUCUUGCUGUCACUUAUAGAUGGAUCCGAGCUGCAUUAGCUAGUUGGUAAGGUAACGGCUUACCAAGGCAACGAUGCAUAGCCGACCUGAGAGGGUGAUCGGCCACACUGGAACUGAGACACGGUCCAGACUCCUACGGGAGGCAGCAGUAGGGAAUCUUCCGCAAUGGGCGAAAGCCUGACGGAGCAACGCCGCGUGAGUGAUGAAGGUCUUCGGAUCGUAAAACUCUUUUAUUAGGGAAGAACAGAUGUGUAAGUAACUGUGCACAUCUUGACGGUACCUAAUCAGAAAGCCACGGCUAACUACGUG